rnacentral:rRNA from 1 species
UGGGGAAUAUUGCGCAAUGGGCGAAAGCCUGAUCCAGCUAUUCCGCGUGUGGGAUGAAGGCCCUCGGGUUGUAAACCACUUUUGUAGAGAACGAAAAGACACCUUCGAAUAAAGGGUGUUGCUGACGGUACUCUAAGAAUAAGCACCGGCUAACUACGUGCCAGCAGCCGCGGUAAUACGUAGGGUGCGAGCGUUAAUCGGAAUUACUGGGCGUAAAGGGUGCGCAGGCGGUUGAGUAAGACAGAUGUGAAAUCCCCGAGCUUAACUCGGGAAUGGCAUAUGUGACUGCUCGACUAGAGUGUGUCAGAGGGAGGUGGAAUUCCUAGUGUAGCGGUGAAAUGCGUAGAUAUUAGGAGGAACACCAGUGGCGAAGGCGGCUUACUGGACGGUAACUGACGUUGAGGCUCGAAAGCGUGGGGGAGCAAACAGGAUUAGAUACCC